UCAGGCCACAGGGACUAUGAAAAACCUGGACUGGAAAAAUAAUAAAGUGUGAGUCAUGGGAGAAGGAGAACUCUUCACAGCUUGAAGAGAUUCAGUUGAAAGAAUAUUAGGACAUCAAGAUUACGAAUGGCCAGAACCAAGUGAGGAUUCACGAUAACCCAGAACGACAAGAGUGGCGCCUGAUCCCAGUGAUAACAGAUUGCUCCCUAACACGGACAGAGUUAAACACAAGACACCCAGCGUUCUGUGUCAUAUCCUCUUGUUGCAUGAUCAUAUUUUGAGAUAGGGGAAGAAUUAAUGUAUAACAAAUUAAAACAGGGCAGUUUCUGACACCCCUGUGACUGAAUAUUUCCACAGAUGUUACAGAGAUGAGGGGAACUUCAUGCACAAAAACACGAAUGGGAAUUUUAUGAGAGACACAGUUUGGAUUAGAGAAGGAAAACCCAGAGAGUGAAUGUGAAAAGUCCAUAUUCAUGUAAAAUUUUCCUAGGGCUGGUGUGAUAAAUUACCAAAAACUGAGUGGCUUAAAAUAUCAGAAGUUUGUUCUUUCAUUGUUCCAGAGGCUAGAUGUCUGGAAUUGAGGAGUCUGCAGGGCCAUACUCUCUCUGAAGGUCAUAGGGGAGGAUCCCUCCUUGCUUCUUCCUAGCUCUGCUUGCUGGCAGUCCUUGGCAUUCUUUGGUGUGUGGAUGCCUCACUCUAAUCUCUGUCUUUGUUGUCACACAUCAGUCUCCCUGAGUGUGUGUGUGUGUUUCUCGUAAAGACACUAUUUACAUUGGAGUAGGGUUCAUCCUUAUCCAAUAUCACUUCAUCUUAACUUGAUUAUGUCUGUAAAGACCCUAUUUCCAAAAAAGUCCACAUCCAGAGGUUCUAGGGAUUAGGGCUUCAGGAUAUCUUUUUUUUUUUUUUGGUGGGGGGCACAGUUCAAUCCACAACAAUCAGUAACCAACAGUGUCUGUGAUGGUGUCACGAAAUGGGUGGAACAGUCCACAGGAAGGGAAUGAU